CUCAGAAAUAAUACAUAUAACCUCUGUUCUGCCAAUAUACAUUAAUGAAAAGAAUAUACCUAGUACCACCUAGUGCCAGUAUACAGCACAACUCAACUUCAAAUACCGAUCUGAUGCUAUUAGAAGGGGACUCAAAGCUUGUGAAAGGUGCCAGACUGACAGUCCAGAAAGGUGAAGUUGUCUGUUUAUUCAUGGAAGAGAUGUUGCCCAUCAAGAAACAUCAUCUGUUAAGAUUUUACUAGAAAGUUCACACAAGCUUCAGCAUUGAGUUUGCCACUGGAUCUUUUGGAGAUGAUCUUUACCACUGCAACCUAUUGCGAGAUGACUGCAAAGCUGGACAGCAGUAUAUUACACUUGAUGGUAAAGUAGGAAAAGAUGGAACAUAAAAGGAGAGGAUGAAUAAGAAAGAAGGAAAGUACAGCAAGCUUAUAAUUCAGUAAAGCAUGGGACAGGCAGAUGCAGAAUAUAGAAACGUAAAUAGCGCUGAAGAAUUCAGAAAUGGAAACAAAGACACUAGACAAAAAGAAAUAGAAAUAUGUAAAAAAAUUAAAGAAUGUUAAAUGUGAAUAUGAGGGCAUAAUAAAUAUUUAUGUAUAAAUGUGCUCAUUUUUACAUUUGUGUACUUGCUCUACACAAUU